rnacentral:rRNA from 1 species
GAAGGUGUGCUGUGAGGCAUGCUGGAGGUAUCAGAAGUGCGAAUGCUGACAUAAGUAACGAUAAAGCGGGUGAAAAGCCCGCUCGCCGGAAGACCAAGGGUUCCUGUCCAACGUUAAUCGGGGCAGGGUGAGUCGACCCCUAAGGCGAGGCCGAAAGGCGUAGUCGAUGGGAAACAGGUUAAUAUUCCUGUACUUGGUGUUACUGCGAAGGGGGGACGGAGAAGGCUAUGUUGGCCGGGCGACGGUUGUCCCGGUUUAAGCGUGUAGGCUGGUUUUCCAGGCAAAUCCGGAAAAUCAAGGCUGAGGCGUGAUGACGAGGCACUACGGUGCUGAAGCAACAAAUGCCCUGCUUCCAGGAAAAGCCUCUAAGCAUCAGGUAACAUCAAAUCGUACCCCAAACCGACACAGGUGGUCAGGUAGAGAAUACCAAGGCGCUUGAGAGAACUCGGGUGAAGGAACUAGGCAAAAUGGUGCCGUAACUUCGGGAGAAGGCACGCUGAUAUGUAGGUGAGGUCCCUCGCGGAUGGAGCUGAAAUCAGUCGAAGAUACCAGCUGGCUGCAACUGUUUAUUAAAAACACAGCACUGUGCAAACACGAAAGUGGACGUAUACGGUGUGACGCCUGCCCGGUGCCGGAAGGUUAAUUGAUGGGGUUAGCGGUAACGCGAAGCUCUUGAUCGAAGCCCCGGUAAACGGCGGCCGUAACUAUAACGGUCCUAAGGUAGCGAAAUUCCUUGUCGGGUAAGUUCCGACCUGCACGAAUGGCGUAAUGAUGGCCAGGCUGUCUCCACCCGAGACUCAGUGAAAUUGAACUCGCUGUGAAGAUGCAGUGUACCCGCGGCAAGACGGAAAGACCCCGUGAACCUUUACUAUAGCUUGACACUGAACAUUGAGCCUUGAUGUGUAGGAUAGGUGGGAGGCUUUGAAGUGUGGACGCCAGUCUGCAUGGAGCCGACCUUGAAAUACCACCCUUUAAUGUUUGAUGUUCUAACGUUGACCCGUAAUCCGGGUUGCGGACAGUGUCUGGUGGGUAGUUUGACUGGGGCGGUCUCCUCCUAAAGAGUAACGGAGGAGCACGAAGGUUGGCUAAUCCUGGUCGGACAUCAGGAGGUUAGUGCAAUGGCAUAAGCCAGCUUGACUGCGAGCGUGACGGCGCGAGCAGGUGCGAAAGCAGGUCAUAGUGAUCCGGUGGUUCUGAAUGGAAGGGCCAUCGCUCAACGGAUAAAAGGUACUCCGGGGAUAACAGGCUGAUACCGCCCAAGAGUUCAUAUCGACGGCGGUGUUUGGCACCUCGAUGUCGGCUCAUCACAUCCUGGGGCUGAAGUAGGUCCCAAGGGUAUGGCUGUUCGCCAUUUAAAGUGGUACGCGAGCUGGGUUUAGAACGUCGUGAGACAGUUCGGUCCCUAUCUGCCGUGGGCGCUGGAGAACUGAGGGGGGCUGCUCCUAGUACGAGAGGACCGGAGUGGACGCAUCACUGGUGUUCGGGUUGUCAUGCCAAUGGCACUGCCCGGUAGCUAAAUGCGGAAGAGAUAAGUGCUGAAAGCAUCUAAGCACGAAACUUGCCCCGAGAUGAGUUCUCCCUGACUCCUUGAGAGUCCUGAAGGAACGUUGAAGACGACGACGUUGAUAGGCCGGGUGUGUAAGCGCAGCGAUGCGUUGAGCUAACCGGUACUAAUGAACCGUGAGGCUUAACCUUACAACGCCGAAG